rnacentral:lncRNA from 1 species
GUCUGUCGGCCGCAUCCUUGGAGGUGUCCCUGCAAUACCAACAAAAAUGUUAAAGACCGGACCAAGAGCCGAACAAAAAGAAAGACCGGGGGAUCGGACGAUACCUAUUCGGGGGACCAGACUCAAGCCGGCAUCAUAGAGAGCUUGUUCGGUAACAAGCUCCCUCUGCUUCGGGAUCGACAUAUCUUUCAGUCGGUGGAAGUCCUCCCGGUCGUCCGCUUCCACCCGGCUGUUGUCGUUGGCUUCGGUUCGGGGCACACCCCAGCGGGAAGGGAAGCCCCAAGGAGAUGAGGAGGAAACAAAAAAGAAUUGGUUCUUCCACCCAUGAAUGGACGAUGGAAGACCGGU